rnacentral:rRNA from 1 species
AGUGAACGCUGGUGGUAGGCCUAACACAUGCGAGUCGAACGGCAGCACAGUAAGAGCUUGCUCUUACGGGUGGCGAGUGGCGGACGGGUGAGGAAUACAUCGGAAUCUACUUUUUCGUGGGGGAUAACGUAGGGAAACUUACGCUAAUACCGCAUACGACCUACGGGUGAAAGCAGGGGAUCUUCGGACCUUGCGCGAUUGAAUGAGCCGAUGUCGGAUUAGCUAGUUGGCGGGGUAAAGGCCCACCAAGGCGACGAUCCGUAGCUGGUCUGAGAGGAUGAUCAGCCACACUGGAACUGAGACACGGUCCAGACUCCUACGGGAGGCAGCAGUGGGGAAUAUUGGACAAUGGGCGCAAGCCUGAUCCAGCCAUACCGCGUGGGUGAAGAAGGCCUUCGGGUUGUAAAGCCCUUUUGUUGGGAAAGAAAAGCAGCAGGUUAAUACCCCGCUGUUCUGACGGUACCCAAAGAAUAAGCACCGGCUAACUUCGUG